rnacentral:rRNA from 1 species
UACGUAGGCAGCGAGCGUUGUUCGGAGUUACUGGGCGUAAAGGGUGCGUAGGCGGGUCUUUAAGUCAGGGGUGAAAUCCUGGAGCUCAACUCCAGAACUGCCUUUGAUACUGAAGAUCUUGAGUUCGGGAGAGGUGAGUGGAAUUGCGAGUGUAGAGGUGAAAUUCGUAGAUAUUCGCAAGAACACCAGUGGCGAAGGCGGCUCACUGGCCCGAUACUGACGCUGAGGCACGAAAGCGUGGGGAGCAAACAGG